AACAAACGCUGGCGGCGUGCCUAACACAUGCAAGUCGAACGCGAAAAUCGGCUUCGGCCGAUGAGUAAAGUGGCGCACGGGUGAGUAACGCGUGGAUAAUCUACCCUUCAGUUGGGAAUAACUUAUCGAAAGGUGAGCUAAUACCGAAUAAAAACUGCCUGACCACGGUCGGGUAGUCAAAGAUAGCCUCUGCUUGCAAGCUUUCGCUGAAUGAUGAGUCCGCGUACCAUUAGCUUGUUGGUGGGGUAAUGGCCUACCAAGGCUGCGAUGGUUAGCUGGUCUGAGAGGAUGAUCAGCCACACUGGAACUGAGACACGGUCCAGACUCCUACGGGAGGCAGCAGUGAGGAAUAUUGCGCAAUGGGGGCAACCCUGACGCAGCAAACGCCGCGUGAGUGAGGAAGGUUUUCGGACCGUAAAGCUCUGUCGAGUGGGAAGAAGUGUAUCAUGGCUAAUAUCCGUGAUAUUUGACGGUACCGCUAGAGG
rnacentral:rRNA from 1 species